rnacentral:miRNA from 1 species
AUGCCCAAUGGCCCCAUGCGGAUAACCAGUGGUCCCUUUGAGCCUGACCUCUACAAGUCUGAGAUGGAAGUCCAGGAUGCAGAGCUAAAGGUCAGUGUG